AUUGAACGCUGGCGGAAUGCUUUACACAUGCAAGUCGAACGGCAGCACGGACUUCGGUCUGGUGGCGAGUGGCGAACGGGUGAGUAAUGUAUCGGAACGUGCCCAGUCGUGGGGGAUAACGUAGUGAAAAUUACGCUAAUACCGCAUACGAUCUACGGAUGAAAGCGGGGGAUCGCAAGACCUCGCGCGCUUGGAGCGGCCGAUAUCAGAUUAGGUAGUUGGUGGGGUAAAGGCCCACCAAGCCAACGAUCUGUAGCUGGUGUGAGAGGACGACCAGCCACACUGGAACUGAGACACGGUCCAGACUCCUACGGGAGGCAGCAGUGGGGAAUUUUGGACAAUGGGCGAAAGCCUGAUCCAGCCAUUCCGCGUGCAGGAUGAAGGCCCUCGGGUUGUAAACUGCUUUUGUACAGAACGAAAAGGUUUCUACUAAUACUAGGAGCUCAUGACGGUACUGUAAGAAUAAGCACCGGCUAACUACGUGCCAGCAGCCGCCGUAA
rnacentral:rRNA from 1 species